GAUACCCUAUUAUUUUAGAUUUAAAGAUUUAAACUUGAGUAGUAUUAGAUAUGGUCUUGAAACUUAAAGAAUUUGGCGGUAUUUUAGUCUAGUUAGAGGAAUCUGUCCCAUUAUCGAUAAUCCACGUUGAACCUUACUUAAUAUAAUUUAAUAUGUAUACCGCUGUUUAUUUGAAUAUCUUUUUAGGGGUAAUUUUCUUUAAAUUUUAAUUAAUUUUAUUUCAAGUCAAGGUGCAGUUUAUAAUUAAGUGGUGAUGGAUUACAUUAUUUAUAAAAUAAAUGAAUUAGAAUAUGAAAAUAUUUUAUGAAGGAGGAUUUAAUGGUAAUUAAUAAUAAGAAUAUUUUUGUGACUUUAGCUCUGAAAUGUGUACAUAUCGCCCGUCACUCUCGUUAUUAAGAUGAGAUAAGUC
rnacentral:rRNA from 1 species